AGGAGGUAACGAUUCCAGAAUUCUCCAAUCCAUUCGCCUCUCUCUUCCUUCUUCCUGGCCGCUCCCGGCAUCCAUAAGGGCGGGCGGAAGGGCCUAUCCCAUCGUGGUGGUGCCACUGGCCCCACCUUGGGCUGUGCAGCCAGAGUCUAACGGCGAACGGCAGUGCGAGAACCGCGAGCGCUCCCCGCUUGGCCAUGCCUUCUCCUCCUAUGUCUCAUAGUUCGUCGCGUGUCCGCAGUGCCAAGUGUCCUCCGGCAUGGUCCAUCCAACAAGGUCACUGCGCGGAGCGUGCAGACGCGUCGUCAUCCUCCUAUGUGUGGAUGUGCUCGAUGGUCAAGUCAUGAGGGAGAUCUUCCGUGGUAGCUUAAUGCUAACGAGUCAGCGAACGUCGAUUCGUUCCCGGUGAAGCCCGCAGGCGCAUCAGCACCUGCAAAUCCAGAUGCACCAGCCACCGCAGGAGGAGGAUGGAGGUGGUGAGAAGGAGCUGCAGGUGGCGGAGCACCAGAGCAUGUGCUGGCCCAAGCGGAGCUACAGCAAGGACCUCAACACCAAGGCGGACGGCAGGGGCGGCGGAUCCGGAUGCCAGCGCUCUGGGCGUUCUGGAUCUUCUAGCGAGCUCGCGAGCUCGGCCGCAAGUCCGAUGGCGAGACCGUCCCAUGGCAGUUGCAGCUGCUGCAGCCAGCCAUUGUCGCCGCCACGGGGACGGGCAUCAUCCCGGCGUGCCCGCUCUCAUCCGUAACGCCCUCGCUGCCGUCGCCCACCUCUGCGUUGGCGGAGUGGCCGGCUGGCCGCACCACCACCACCAGGUGUGGGGGGCGCCGCUGCGGUCCGCAGGCUUCUCGCACUCUGGGUUCAUGAACGCGUCAGGGCCCGACACUAACGGCGGGGUUAUCAGCGGGAUCGUGCAGCAGAUGGCAGUGUCCGCCGGGUCGUGCCUAUGUUCGCUAGCCACGCCGCGGCCAGGCUGGGACUGAAACUCGAGUUGUCGCAGGAAGGCCACAUUGGCGUGCCCGCCGGGCAGUUGCUCGGCGGUUGGGAGCGCCGGCGCACAUGGUUCGUCUAACUCCGAUAGUCCGUUGUUGCCCCUGCAUCUACUGUUGGUUUGUCUGCUCUUUCUGCUUGGUCGCCCUUUGUUCUAUGAUUUUCGACUGCUGAUGAUGAUGAUACGAGGUGCGCAAUUUGGCUUGGUAAACGGCCGAUCAAACCUGCUGAUAGUAAUGCCUCCCCUUUUCCCCUCUGUUUUUCCUUUCGUCCGAUUGUUCAUCCGUUCGAUUAUCGUAUUAUAUGUAGCUGCAACCAUCUGAUGAACUAAAGUUGUACUGCAGGUUGUUCACGAGUGGCCUGGUUUGCCAUAAUGUAUCAAGUUUGGUCCAUCUAACCUGAAAUCGAUUUGGAAUUUGCUGGCAGAACAUGAUAAAUCAGGUACUUAAGGAAUAAGGAUGAAUUUAUUCCAGCUGUUGAGGAAGAUUACAGUAUCAGCUGGAGAAAUUGCAAGGAAGAAAGAAAAAGUGUAGACCCUCCCACAGAGUAAGCAGGAAUGGAAAUCAGUGAAAAGGCAAAGAGGUGGAGUUGAGCUGCAAUGAUCACAUACCCUACACUUGCUGGAUGAUCACCAGAGAAAGAUGAUUCUCUGUAAAUUCCACGCAUGCCUCAUCACGAAGCGAUGGACUAGCAAUCUCCAAGCUUUCAUUUGGUCUCAAAAGCAAUUAAUUUUCGCCUUUCAAAAGAUCACCAUUUGAAUCAGAUGGAGGAGGCCACAUUUGGAGAGAAUUGUUCAAGGGGAAAUGAAUCCUCGCUGCCGCUUAAGCAAUCUGCCCGCCAUACCCAGUUCAUGCCGCGUCAAUUGAUGCUGCUUCCAAUGAUAUUUCUAAGAGCGUGCAAGCCACCAUAAUAACCAAUUUUGUAACAGUAUUUAAGCUGCUCAUAAUAGUGCUAGGAGCAUGCAAGCCAUCAUAAUAGUGCAUUUUAAGAUGGCUGGUAAUGAAUAUUUGUAAGUUGAUCCUUUCUAAAUGGUUUAAACA